GAUGAACGCUGGCGGCGUGCUUAACACAUGCAAGUCGAACGGAAAGGCCCAAGCUUGCUUGGGUACUCGAGUGGCGAACGGGUGAGUAACACGUGGGUGAUCUGCCCUGCACUUCGGGAUAAGCCUGGGAAAUUGGGUCUAAUACCGGAUAGGACGAUGGUUUGGAUGCCAUUGUGGAAAGUUUUUUCGGUGUGGGAUGAGCUCGCGGCCUAUCAGCUUGUUGGUGGGGUAAUGGCCUACCAAGGCGUCGACGGGUAGCCGGCCUGAGAGGGUGUACGGCCACAUUGGGACUGAGAUACGGCCCAGACUCCUACGGGAGGCAGCAGUGGGGAAUAUUGCACAAUGGGCGCAAGCCUGAUGCAGCGACGCCGCGUGGGGGAUGACGGCCUUCGGGUUGUAAACUCCUUUCGCUAGGGACGAAGCGUUUUUGUGACGGUACCUGGAGAAGAAGCACCGGCUAACUACGUG
rnacentral:rRNA from 1 species